rnacentral:tRNA from 1 species
AUUCAUGUGGCGGAAUUGGUAGACGCGCUCGACUUAAAAUCGAGUUCUUUACAGAGUGUGGGUUCGACUCCUGCCAUGAAUA